CCUACGGGAGGCAGCAGUGGGGAAUCUUGCACAAUGGAGGAAACUCUGAUGCAGCGAUGCCGCGUGAGUGAAGAAGGCCUUUGGGUUGUAAAGCUCUUUUGUAGGGGAAGAUAAUGACUGUACCCUAAGAAUAAGGUCCGGCUAACUUCGUGCCAGCAGCCGCGGUAAUACGAAGGGACCUAGCGUAGUUCGGAAUUACUGGGCGUAAAGCGCGCGUAGGCCGUUGAGUUAGUUAAUUGUGAAAUCCCAAAGCUUAACUUUGGAACUGCAAUUAAAACUGCUCGACUAGAGUUUGAUAGAGGAAAGCGGAAUACAUAGUGUAGAGGUGAAAUUCGUAGAUAUUAUGUAGAACACCAGUUGCGAAGGCGGCUUUCUGGAUCAACACUGACGCUGAGGCGCGAAAGUAUGGGUAGCAAAGAGGAUUAGAUACCCUCGUAGUCCAUACCAUAAACGAUGGUUGCUAGAUGUUGGAAAUUUAUUUUCAGUAUCGCAGCUAACGCAUUAAGCAAUCCGCUGGGGAUCGACCGNAGGUUAAACNAAAGAUGACGNUGNGANGCGAGNGACAGAGGAGNG
rnacentral:rRNA from 1 species